CGGGGUGCACCAGGCGCGAAAACUUUACAAUGCGGGAAACCGUGAUAAGGGGACACCGAGUGCCAGCAUCAUAUGCUGGCUGUCCGGGUGUGUAAAAUACACCCGUUAGCAAGGGCCGGGCAAGACCGGUGCCAGCCGCCGCGGUAACACCGGCGGCCCGAGUGGUGAUCGUGAUUAUUGGGUCUAAAGGGUCCGUAGCCGGUUUGGUCAGUCCUCCGGGAAAUCUGACGGCUCAACCGUUAGGCUUUCGGGGGAUACUGCCAGGCUUGGAACCGGGAGAGGUAAGAGGUACUACAGGGGUAGGAGUGAAAUCUUGUAAUCCCUGUGAGACCACCUGUGGCGAAGGCGUCUUACCAGAACGGGUUCGACGGUGAGGGACGAAAGCUGGGGGCACGAACCGGAUUAGAUACCCGGGUAGUCCCAGCCGUAAACGAUGCUCGCUAGGUGUCAGGCAUGGCGCGACCGUGUCUGGUGCCGCAGGGAAGCCGUGAAGCGAGCCACCUGGGAAGUACGGCCGCAAGGCUGAAACUUAAAGGAAUUGGCGGGGGAGCAC
rnacentral:rRNA from 1 species